ACCAUAUCUGAACAAGCAAAAGCCGUGAGUUCAAGGGCCACUUCAUUCCAUCUCGAGAAACAAAAUGACCCGAACUACUACUUAGAUCAUUCGACAAAGUUACUAUGUCUAAUAAAAUAGAUGCGUUAUGAGCAUAACUAAAGUCUUGGGUGGCGAUUCUGAAACGUCCAGAGCGAGUCACACUCGACCGCCUGAGCUCUUAGUCCACAUUCCUUCGCAAGAAUGAGACCAUCCCGGAGCGCCAUAGCUUGAGCAUCUCUACCAUAAAAUUUCCAUCUGCUUUCCUGGAUUGUCCUUUUCCUCUUUUGAAGGAUGCAAAUAUGUGCAGAAUUCACGGGGUUAUGGUGCUCAAUAAUGUUCAAAAUCACAUCAUGUCAGAUUUUCCUCAUGCAAUACGAAGAUCAUUUUCUGCACUAACAUUAUUAAUCUCAAUCUUUUUUUCAUGCAGUGUUUUCAAAAUUUAUCAGGGCCUUAAAGGGGUAAGCAACAAUCACAAGAAGACAAAGUGAUUACCUUGCAGAAGAUUGAAGAUGCCAUAAGGAGUCCAACCAUGAAAACAGAUGAUACAACUCUAUCCUCAAAAUUAUUCGGGUCAAAAUCACCCCUGCAUAGCAUUAAGAGAUUGUAAAACAAGCAAAGUAUAUACUGAAAUAUUCACUUACUACAAAUGUGUAGAUUUUGGAGUACUAGUGGCAUGUCCAAGAUAAUAAGAUGG
rnacentral:lncRNA from 1 species